rnacentral:rRNA from 1 species
UCCGGUUGAUCCCGCCGGAGGUUACUGCUAUCGAGGUUCGACUAAGCCAUGCGAGUCGAAUGUAGCAAUACAUGGCGUACUGCUCAGUAACACGUGGAUAACCUACCCUUGAGAUGGGGAUAAACCCGGGAAACUGGGUAUAAUACCCAAUAGGUCUCGACUGCUGGAAUGCAUCGAGCUCCAAAGCUCCGGCGCUCAAGGAUGGAUCUGCGGCCUAUCAGGUAGUAGUGGGUGUAGCGUACCUACUAGCCUACGACGGGUACGGGUUGUGAGAGCAAGAGCCCGGAGAUGGAUUCUGAGACACGAAUCCAGGCCCUACGGGGUGCAGCAGGCGCGAAAACUUUACAAUGCUGGAAACAGCGAUAAGGGGACCUCGAGUGCCAGGUUACAAAUCUGGCUGUCGUGAUGCCUAAAAAGCAUUGCAUAGCAAGGGCCGGGCAAGACCGGUGCCAGCCGCCGCGGUAACACCGGCGGCUCGAGUGGUAACCGUUAUUAUUGGGUCUAAAGGGUCUGUAGCCGGCCGGAUAAGUCUCUUGGGAAAUCUGGCAGCUUAACUGUCAGGCCUUCAGGAGAUACUGUCUGGCUCGAGGCCGGGAGAGGUGAGAGGUACUUCAGGGGUAGGGGUGAAAUCUUGUAAUCCUUGAAGGACCACCAGUGGCGAAGGCGUCUCACCAGAACGGACCUGACGGCAAGGGACGAAAGCUAGGGGCACGAACCGGAUUAGAUACCCGGGUAGUCCUAGCCGUAAACGAUACUCGCUAGGUGUCGGCAACGGUGCGACCGUUGUCGGUGCCGUAGGGAAGCCGUGAAGCGAGCCACCUGGGAAGUACGGCCGCAAGGCUGAAACUUAAAGGAAUUGGUGGGGGAGCACCACAACGGGUGGAGCUUGCGGUUUAAUUGGAUUCAACGCCGG